rnacentral:rRNA from 1 species
AUUGGACGCUGGCGGAAUGCUUUACACAUGCAAGUCGAGCGGCAGCACGGGGGCAACCCUGGUGGCGAGCGGCGAACGGGUGAGUAAUACAUCGGAACAUGCCCAGUCGUGGGGGAUAACACUUCGAAAGAAGUGCUAAUACCGCAUACGUCCUGAGGGAGAAAGCGGGGGAUCGCAAGACCUCGCGCGAUUGGAGUGGCCGAUGUCAGAUUAACUAGUUGGUGGGGUAAAGGCCUACCAAGGCAACGAUCUGUAGCUGGUCUGAGAGGAUGAUCAGCCACACUGGGACUGAGACACGGCCCAGACUCCUACGGGAGGCAGCAGUGGGGAAUUUUGGACAAUGGGGGCAACCCUGAUCCAGCCAUUCCGCGUGAGUGAAGAAGGCCUUCGGGUUGUAAAGCUCUUUCGGCAGGAACGAAACGGUGAGCUCUAACAUAGCUUGCUAAUGACGGUACCUGAAGAAGAAGCACCGGCUAACUACGUGCCAGCCGCCGCGGUAAUAC